ACGUACACUCCUACGGGAGGCAGCAGUGGGGAAUAUUGGACAAUGGGCGCAAGCCUGAUCCAGCCAUGCCGCGUGAGUGAUGAAGGCCCUAGGGUUGUAAAGCUCUUUUGUGCGGGAAGAUAAUGACGGUACCGCAAGAAUAAGCCCCGGCUAACUUCGUGCCAGCAGCCGCGGUAAUACGAAGGGGGCUAGCGUUGCUCGGAAUCACUGGGCGUAAAGGGUGCGUAGGCGGGUCUUUAAGUCAGGGGUGAAAUCCUGGAGCUCAACUCCAGAACUGCCUUUGAUACUGAAGAUCUUGAGUUCGGGAGAGGUGAGUGGAACUGCGAGUGUAGAGGUGAAAUUCGUAGAUAUUCGCAAGAACACCAGUGGCGAAGGCGGCUCACUGGCCCGAUACUGACGCUGAGGCACGAAAGCGUGGGGAGCAAACAGGAUUAGAAACCCGGGUAGUCCCAU
rnacentral:rRNA from 1 species